rnacentral:rRNA from 1 species
UACGUAGGGGGCUAGCGUUGCUCGGAAUUACUGGGCGUAAAGGGCGCGUAGGCGGGCUGCCAAGUCUGGGGUGAAAUCCCACGGCUCAACCGUGGAACUGCCUCGGAUACUGGCGGCCUCGAGGGAGGUAGGGGCGUGCGGAACUGUGGGUGGAGCGGUGAAAUGCGUUGAUAUCCACAGGAACUCCGGUGGCGAAGGCGGCACGCUGGACCUCUUCUGACGCUGAGGCGCGAAAGCCAGGGGAGCAAACGGG